CAGAGGGGCUCGCUCAAGUGGCCAUGCUCCCCUUGCCCCUACCCCCAAGUACCCGCAGGUGGAUGGAACCCUCUUCCCCAGGUCCUACACUGGGCUCUUCAGAGGCAGAACCUUACUGAACUCCCCAGCAAGCCUGUGUGGCAAAGAGAAGGGUGCCGCAUUUACAGAGGAGGAUGCUGAGGCUCAGACAGAGGUGCCUCUGCCUGCAGCUACCCAAGACUGUCUGACUCCAGAGCAUGAGCGGCUCCUACCAUGCAGCUGCCAUUCUCCUGGCUCCCAUGGGCCCUAUGAGGGCAGGGGUUUCUGGCUGUCUCACUCACUGCUGCGUCCCCAGUGCCUAGAACAGUGCCUGGCACGUGGCAGGUGCUCGGUGAAGACAGUCCUCGCUUAGACUGCUAACUCUACUCUCAAGAGAGCUGUCCCUGACCCCAGCCUUGAUCCUGCCACUCCUGACUCCUGGUAACUGUGUCCCCAGCACGCAGCACGGGGCUGGAGUGGAGGUGCUGGGUGAGUGCCUGUGGAAGGACAGGGUUGGCUAAGGGCCCUCACCGAAGCCUCUGGAUGUUGGAAGACACGCCUGAGAGCCGGUAGAUCCCAUCCACCACCCCGUGGGCCUCAAUGAACUCGGAGCAGCAGCGCAGCACCUGGGGCACUGGGAGAAAGCAAGGAUUCCCCGCUGCCGCAGCCGCUGCCGAGAAGGGCGGGAGCGCAUGAAGGCCCGGACCUGGCCGCUCUGUGAAGAGUUCCACACACUCACUGGGGAAGAACCCGACCUGAGGAAGGUCAGGGUCAGUAGCUGGGCCACCCCAGUUGGCAGGUACCCCAGCCCCACCUGUCCGCGCCCAGCUGGACUCACCUUGGAAGCCUCGCUUGCCCCGCCACCAGCUCCGAUCCUCUGUGGGUGGCAUGUCGAUCACCGAGACAAUGUCUCCCACCUGGGAGUGGGCGGGUGGGAAGAGAAGGGUCAGAAGGAGCAGGGGGUGUGGGGAGCCCAGCUGGAAUCUGCUUCCCCACAGCCUCACCUCAAAGGACAGCUCAUCUGGCGCCUGGGCUGUAUACCGUUUGAUCACAUGGGCGGCCGCCACUGCAGGGAUAUUGAGUGACGCCUCCUCACUGAGGAGCAGUCGCCGGCCAUGAUUGUCCAGCUGAAAUAGAGGUGGAAUGUGGCAAGGACAGGACUCUCCCACCUGAAGGCUUCCCCAUCCACCUCUGCACCUUCAUCCUCCGCAGCAGAUGCCACACGGUUGCCAUCUAAAAUCUCUCUGUGCUGGGCGUGGUGGCACACGCCUGUAAUCCUAGCACUUUGGGAGGGUGAGCCUGGAGAAUUGCUUGACCCCAGGAGUUCAAGACCAGCCUGGUCAACAUAGCAAAACUCUGUCUCUACAAAACAUAUUUUUUUAAUUAGCCAGAGGCCAGGCACAGUGGCUCAUGCCUAUAAUCCCAACACUUUAGGAGGCUGAGGUGGGCGGAUCACCUGAGAUCAGGAGUUUGAGACCAGUCUGACCAACAUGGAGAAACCCAGUCUCUACUAAAAAUAUAAAAUUAGCUGGGCGUGGUGGCACAUGCCUGUAAUCCCAGCUACUCAGGAGGCGGAGGCAAAAGAAUCACUUGAACCUGGGAGGCAGGGGUUGCGGUGAGGCAGGGGUUGCGGUGGGCGAGAUCGUGCCACUGCACUCCAGCCUGGGCAACAGGAGUGAAACUCUAUCUCAAAAAAAGAAAAAAAACCCCUCUGGUUUAAGCCACUCAUAGCCAGGUGUUCUGCGAGUUACAGCCCAACCCAUUUCUAACUGAUAUACAUUUAAACCCUUGUAUCCUUAAAGCCGAACACCUGCUAACACACACACAUGCUCACACACAUUCUCUCACAGGCAUGCGCCCACACAGACACUAAAAUAUCAACGCCUCCUCCACUCUGGCUCCUUUCUUUUCUAUGCCCACACACACACCGAGGCUGCUUCUCGCCCCUCAGACACCCCCUCACCCACUCUGAACCUCCAAGCCCCCUGCCCAGGCCCACCUCCAUCCAGGUGAGCACAGGCCCGCAGUUGAGGUUACUGUCCACCAGUCCUGACAGUGUCUCCAGGUACUGCAGCAGCAGUGGCACCAGCAUCUGGGGGCAGGUUGUCAGGGUGGGCCUCUGUGAGUGGACGUGAGAGAGCCCACUGCCCUCCCACACUGCCCUAGCUCGUCUCUGGGCUGAAGUUCAUCCCGAACACAUGGGUGCUGCUCAGCUGUUAGGUACUGAGAUAUGGGCAUAUGAAUGAAUAAACAGGCUGGGCCAAGCUCUUGAGUACCCUGGUUGGUAUGACCAUGGUGACCCUCCCAUGGGACCCCCUGGAACUCCCCAUGAUCCUAAAACUUAGCAAAGCUAAAUGUAGCAGAAGCCUACUACGUUUCUAAGGCUUCUCCAUUCAUUCAGAUUGGUUGGGACUUGGGCCAUACCAGUAUUUAAAUAUUUCUCUAUCCCGCUGCCUUGAUGAUUUCACACUGUGGAUGAGGACACACUCAUGAGGCAGGGGCUGAGACAACAAGCAGGUUACCUGGGCAGCCCUGGCACCCUCGGGGGGCGGGGGAAGCUCCGGAAGGCAGGAGAACCUCCGGUCAAAUAUGCAUCGGUGGAGGUGGGCAUCCAGGGAACGAAAGUCAUCGUAACUCCGGAGAACCGGCCAGGAACGGCCCUGUGGGAGCAGAGGGACAGAAGGGAGCAGGGGCCCCAUGACACCGAGCUGAGGACUACAGUGGCCAUUCUCUCAGGCUAGAUGAGAGGCGGGAUGGCCUCACCUGACAGGUCACCUGCACCCCGAACACCAGCUCAUUCUCUCCAGAGAGGCUGGGCCCUUCACGGUCUGGAGACAGCAGGAGCUGCAGAGGGAAAGCAAGGCCCAGGUGGACUUUUGUCCCAGUCCUGACCUCCUGGGGAUGGCACUAUCUAGGGACGGGUUUGUGUCUCCCUUCUGGACCUCCCCGAGGACAGGGCCUGGUGAUGUGCUGGUCCCUGACAUAGAGCAGAUACCUAACAAAAGUUGUUGUUGAAUGAAUAAAAGAACAAAUGGAUGAAUG
rnacentral:lncRNA from 1 species